UGAGGAAUAUUGGACAAUGGGGGCAACCCUGAUCCAGCCAUGCCGCGUGAGUGAAGACGGCCUUAGGGUUGUAAAGCUCUUUCAAGUGCGAAGAUAAUGACGGUAACACUAGAAGAAGCUCCGGCUAAAUUCGUGCCAGCAGCCGCGGUAAUACGAAUGGAGCAAGCGUUGUUCGGAAUAACUGGGCUUAAAGCGUAUGUAGGCGGAAUGGAAAGUCAGGAGUGAAAUCCCGGGGCUCAACCCCGGAACUGCUCUUGAAACUUCCAUUCUAGAAUCCUGGAGAGGUUGGGAGAAUUCCUAGUGUAGAGGUGAAAUUCGCAGAUAUUAGGAGGAAUACCAGUGGCGUAGGCGCCCAACUGGACAGGUAUUGACGCUCAGAUACGAAAGCGUGGGGAGCAAACAGGAUUAGAUACCCCCGUAGUCC
rnacentral:rRNA from 1 species